rnacentral:lncRNA from 1 species
GCUACCUCAGUGACUUGCAAGCAACUCACUGUGCUUUGAUGUCGGACUAUCUGAAUUUCUAAUUUGAUGACGGAAGAUUUUUGGAUAUAGUCAAGUAUUUGUGAAAUCUGAGUGCGAGUCAAGAUGGGAUUUAUCGCUCUAAGUAAAAUUGGAGAUGAUGCAUCACUGUGUUUCAAUUCAGUAAAAUUUUGACCAAAGUAGUCCUAGUGAAGAGUCACAAGAUUUUUGAGGUUGAGACACAAUAUGGACCAC